rnacentral:rRNA from 1 species
CGCGUAGGUGGUUAGGUAAGCGAGAUGUGAAAGCCCCGGGCUUAACCUGGGAACGGCAUUUUGAACUGUCUGACUAGAGUAUGGUAGAGGGUAGUGGAAUUUCCUGUGUAGCGGUGAAAUGCGUAGAUAUAGGAAGGAACACCAGUGGCGAAGGCGGCUACCUGGACCAAUACUGACACUGAGGUGCGAAAGCGUGGGGAGCAAACA